CCUGCUCCUUUAUAUACUGUUCAUCUCUUUUGCGUGGAAACCAAAUCUCGAUGAUCUAACCAAAUCUCCUUUUACACUUCGUCUUCGUCUUAAAGCCACUUCCCCUUCCUCUUAUUUGUUCCCUCUUUCUUUUCAACUUCCUAUUUACUUCUAAUUGAUUUUUGUUUUGUUUACAGAUCUAAGAAGGAACCGGGAAGGAGAAGAAGUGGUGUUACAGAGCGGUGUCUCCGGCUUCUAAAAAAGGCAGAGUAGUCUGAAGAAGCUUGAUGGUCGUGGUCUCGGCGUCAACAAUGGUGGUCUCGGCGUCAACAGUGGUGGUCUCGACUUCGUUAAUGGUAGCUUAGCGCGGUGGAGGAGGCUGAAUAAGCUUACCUGUGGUGUUCUUGGCUGGUGGUCUCGGCCUCAGGCGGAGUAGGCUGAAGAAGCUUGAUGGUCGUGGUCUCGGCGUCAACAAUGGUGGUCUCGACUUCGUCAAUGGUAGCUUAGCGCGGUGGAGGAGGCUGAAUAAGCUUACCUGUGGUGUUCUUGGCUGGUGGUCUCCGCCUCAGAGAUGAACAAACCGAAGGAGCUGAAGUUGACGGCGAAGGAGAUGAAGUUGACGGAAAAAAGUUUAGAUGUAGGGUUAAUUUUUUUUAAUUAGGUUACACUUUUUAGGUUUAUAUUUCCAAACCGGGUUUUGUAAACCAGAAUUAAUUAUAUUUGGUGGUUUAAUUUUUAAUUAAUUUAGACAUGAUUUUGCACGCAAUCCAAGGCACAUCCACGGGACCGUGACAUGUUUUCUGAUGUUAACUAUUUGCAAAAAGACAUUGUGCGUGUGUACAUUUU